AGGGUUCGAUUCUGGCUCAGGAUGAACGCUGGCGGCGUGCCUAACACAUGCAAGUCGAACGAUUAACCCGCCUUCGGGCGGUCAUAGAGUGGCGAACGGGUGAGUAACACGUGACCAACCUGCCCUCCCCACCGGGAUAACGCGGCGAAAGCCGCGCUAAUACCGGAUAUGCCGGCGCCCCCGCAUGGGGGCGCCGGGAAAGCUCCGGCGGGGGAGGAUGGGGUCGCGUCCCAUUAGGUAGUUGGCGGGGCGACGGCCCACCAAGCCGACGAUGGGUAGCCGGGUUGAGAGACCGAUCGGCCACAUUGGGACUGAGAUACGGCCCAG
rnacentral:rRNA from 1 species